rnacentral:rRNA from 1 species
UACGUAGGUGGCAAGCGUUGUCCGGAAUUAUUGGGCGUAAAGCGCGGGCAGGCGGCCUUUUAAGUCUGAUGUGAAAGCCCACGGCUCAACCGUGGAAGGUCAUUGGAAACUGAAAGGCUUGAGUACAGAAGAGGAAAGCGGAAUUCCACGUGUAGCGGUGAAAUGCGUAGAGAUGUGGAGGAACACCAGUGGCGAAGGCGGCUUUCUGGUCUGUAACUGACGCUGAGGCGCGAAAGCGUGGGGAGCAAACAGG